UCUGUUUGUAUAUAUAUAAUGCUUUGCUGUAAACAUAGCCUUUCAAUUUUCUCAGCUCUUUUCUUCUAACAAGUGACAACCAACAAUGGCUUCAAUGGCAGCGUCUUCUUCUAGCACCUUCUACACCAACCUCAAAUUUUGCACCAAAUCCAACAACAGCAACAGCAACUUGAACUAAAGGGAACUCAUUGAGAAGCAAUGAAAUAGCAACAGUUGGUGCUAUCUUCAAUUUUAAUUUCAGGAAGUAAUUUUUGUUUUGAUUCUACUGACAUAAUGUAUAUACUUCUUUUGAAAAGAAAUCUGCUCUAGCUAAGGACAAGGCUGAACUUUUAAUAUUGAAAAAAAAAAAAGAAGAAAGCUCACUUGAAGAUGUGCAAUAGCUAAAAGGUACUAACAUAUACAUAUUACAAAAUCACAAUCUAUGCCCCAAAACUUCGAAGUUGGCCAUAAUUUACAUACAUACAAAUACGAAUAAUAUUUUCUUUACAAUGACUUGGAUGACUUGAUAGCAAGCACCAUCUCCUUAGGCUUCUAUUUUAGUUUCUUAUUUAUUGAUAAGUUUUCGGUAUAUAUUUAUGUGUAUUUUCUAUUUGUCAAUUGUUUAUUAUGCAGUAUUGGAUACCUGUCUUAGUUGCUGAGAAUUUGAAGAGUGUUUAAACCUAUGCUGUAAAUUAAUUGCUUGCUAUAUAUGUGUAUAUAAUAAUGUUAUGGAUGCUAUGUUGAACAUAUUAGUAAAAUAAGAAUAUUAUAAAGUAUAGUUGGAGUCUUUUGAUAUAUGUAAUAAGAAGUUGGUGCUUUCCUUUUGGGUAAACUCUUCUAUUCUUAUUUGUUGAGUACCUGACGUGAUUAACCAAUAAUUAAAAUUUAUUCUUAACAUUUUGUUA